rnacentral:lncRNA from 1 species
CCCUCUUUUACAGUCUUUGCAGCAGUUGCUCUCCCAUGAAGACGUGUCUGAACAUCUCAAAAUUCAGAAUACGCAAGACCAGAUAUUAGCUAGUUUCCAAGAAUACAGAACUGCAAGAGAUGGUCAGUACUUUAAACAAAAUCAUUUUCUGUCCAGUGAAGGUUUGAGAAUAGCAUUAAAUCUUUACGUUGAUGAUUUUGAAAUUUGCAAUCCACUUGGCACGUCUCGGAAGAAGCACAAACUUUGCGCUGUCUAUUGGGUUUUGGGUAAUUUGCCACCAGGUUCCACCUCAAGACUCACUUCGAUCUAUUUAGCUCUUCUGUGCAAAUCGGAUGAUUUAAAAGUCUAUGGGUAUGACAAAGUGUUUGAGCCUCUCUUGCAAGAGUUGAAGACAUUAGAGCAGCACGGUGUUUUUCUUUCUCAGCUGGGCCAGUUUGUUAAAGGUUCUGUACAGUGUGUAAUAGCCGACAAUCUUGGAGCCCAUGGGAUAGCUGGAUUCGUUGAGAGUUUUUCUUGGGGGUCAGUCUGCAGGUUUUGUACAGGGGACAAAUCGGAAUUUCAGACUAAAGAUGUCAAGUCGGGUGCUUUUCAACUUCGAACCAGAGAUGUCCAUGAUGUUCAUGUCCAGUCAGCUCAGGAGAGUGAAACCAUCUGCCAUGGUGUCAAAAGACAGUGUGUUUUAACCAAGCACCUUUCACAUUUUCAUAUUAGCACUGGUUAUCCACCUGACGUUUUACAUGAUCUCUUUGAAGGUGUUGUGCCAGUGGAACUUGCUCGCUGUAUUUCUGUGUUGAUCUCCAAAAAAUAUUUUACUUUCAAUCACCUCAACACAUUGAUCCAGACAUUUCCGUACAAAUGGGGGGACAAAACGAAUCGCCCCCAUGCUAUACCACAGUCUUUCACUUCACGCAACAGUAUAGGUGGCAAUGCACACGAAAAUUGGAAUGUACUGAGACUGCUUCCAUUCAUUAUUGGACAAAUUGUGCCAGAAAAUGAGCCAGCAUGGCAGGUAAUUCUUC